GGACGAACGCUGGCGGCGUGCCUAACACAUGCAAGUCGAACGGAGUUAUUCCUUCGGGGAUAACUUAGUGGCGGACGGGUGAGUAACGCGUGAGUAACCUGCCUUUCAGAGGGGGAUAACGUUCUGAAAAGAUCGCUAAUACCGCAUGAGACUACAGAGCUGCAUGGCUCAGUGGUCAAAGGAGCUUCGGCUUCACUGAAGGAACGGCCCGCGCACUAUUAGCUAGUUGGUGAGGUAACGGCUCACCAAGGCAACGAUAGUUAUCCGGCCUAAGAGGGUGAACGGACACAUUGGGACUGAGACACGGCCCAGACUCCUACGGGAGGCAGCAGUGGGGGAUAUUGCGCAAUGGGGGCAACCCUGACGCAGCAACGCCGCGUGAAGGAAGAAGGUUUUCGGAUCGUAAACUUCUUUAAGUGGGGAAGAUAGUGACGGUACCCACAGAAUAAGCCACGGCUAACUACGUG
rnacentral:rRNA from 1 species